rnacentral:rRNA from 1 species
AUGUGGAAAAAUAAAAUUGAAUAGUAGUUUAGGGGUGAGAUGCCAGUCGUACUUUAUAUAUCUAGUUACUUUAGAAAUAAAUUGAAUUUAGUUUUUACGAAAAAGAUCGUAUAAUUAAAUUUUCAGGGGGAAUAGCUCCUGAAAAUUUUUGUAUAAAGGUAUUAUAAGAAUUGUAUAAAGUUAGGCUUAGAAUCAGUCAUGCUUUUAUAACGUUUUAGUAGAUAUGAAGUAGAUAUUUUUUUUAAUAAAAAUUUUACUUGGAUUAUGAAGUUAAUUGUGAUAACAUUAUUUGUUUUGAAAUAGUGAUUGUAUUAGUAGAAAUUUAAUGUGAUAGGAUAAUGCGAGUUAGUGAGAUAAAGAUUUAAAUUUGUUUUUAUUUUAUUUAAGGAACUCGACAAACUAUAUGUUCACCUGUUUAUCAAAAACAUGUCUGUUAUGAAAAUAUUAACAGUCUAGCCUGCCCACUGAAGUUUUGAAGGGCCGCGGUAUUUGGACCGUGCUAAGGUAGCAUAAUCAAUAGUCUUUUAAUUGGAGUCUGGAAUGAAUGGUUGGAUGAAAUAUAAGUUGUCUUGGAUUAUAAAGGUUGAAUUUUACUUUUGAGUGAAAAGGCUUAAAUGAAUUGGGGGGACGAUAAGACCCUGUGAAGCUUUAUGUUAUAAAGGUGUUCAUGAAUAAUAUUUUAGUGGUUAGGUUUAUACUUUAAUAAUAUUGUGUUGGGGCGAUAGGAAUAAAAUGUGUAACUGUUUUUAUUAUACAAAUAAUGAUAUUUAGAAUGUUGAUCUUUAAUUUGAGAUUAAGAGAUUAAAGUUACUCCAGGGAUAACAGCGUAA